ensembl:lncRNA
UUCUGUAAAGUAUAACAGCUGAUUAUCUACCAGGAAAUAUAGAAAUAGCAUUCAUUGACUGAUUAAACAUAUUUAACUUUGAAGAAGCUUGCCAACUAAAGCAGCAUUUUAUAUAAAAUGACUGCACUUCUAUUCUUGUUUUCACACAUCAUCACAUGGUUCAACUUUAUCGCUGCUAACAAUUCUCUAACUUUCUCUUUCCUCUUAUUUAUUUGCUGAUAACAUGCCUCUAUAUUAUAAACAGUUUAAACAGUAUUUUUUGCUGCAGUCAUUAUUUGCAUUGAAAUAUUUUCUUUGCACUCAAAAGAGCAAAGUUCAAAGCGGAAAUUUCACAGCCAAUCAAUCCUCAGUAUUAUUAAACAUUAAAACGUAGCAUGCCAUUUCUAUUAAAGUCAUACAUGAUAUUUCUAUUUACAUUGUGCACACAUACUGCCAUUUAUUUAUAAAUCCUAAUAUCUGCAUGGAAACUAAAGUUUAUUCACCAGACCUCUGAUGUUCUGGCUGCUGUACAUGUAUUUAAUGUAAUAUGAAUUAAAUUAUGCUUUUGUGUGUGUUGUACAUGCCUUCUACUAUUUCUUCAGUUGUUUUCAAAAAGUUUCAGGACAUGUAGAAAAACUUAAUUUUUUUUAUCAUUUGAUAAACCUGAUAUGAGAUCAAGAGUCUGAUAUGUGUCUUCCGUAGAACUUAUUAUGAAUGUUUAUGUAAUUUGUGUCUGUUGAAAUUCAUGAUGAGAGAGAUGAUAUUUCUACCAGCAGUAACACUCUGACUCUGUCUGUCGAUGUUGGUACAUUUCAUCUUGUUUGUGUUUUGUUCUUUAGGUCUGGAUCAGCUCUGCACAUUUGAUGAACCAUAUUCGAUCAAACAAUGUUACGCAGCUCUGGGACACAAACUCAGUCUGCAGAUGAUGCUGAACCCUUCAUAUACUGAACUUGAUUUGUAUAAGACGUUAAAUGAUGGCAGUACACUGAAAGUUUUUAGCAUAGAGAAAAAUAAAAAGUAUAAUUAUGAAUCCAUCAGAGACAUAUCUGAGUUAUUUAAAAAUGUGCCUCUGAUCAUAAAUACACAUGAAUCCAUCAGAAACAGAUCCGAGUUCUUCUUUGAUAAUAUGACUCUGACCAUAAACAAUGUGACCAGAGCAGAUUCAGGAAGAUACACAUCAUUUGUCGUUGAGAUAGAUAUGGCAAUGAAAAGUGAUCUUCAAGUGAUUGUUGAAGCUCCUAUUGGCUCAGUGGAAGUGUCAAUCAUCUGCUCCUCCAAUCAGACUACAGUGUUCUGCUCCUCUGAGGGAGAUCAGCUCAUCUACAGCUGGACUCUGAAUGGAAAAAUACUAGAAGAAGGACCAAUGUUUGGAAACAGCAGCAUUGAUCUGGAUGAGGGAACUGAUGGAAACAUCAGCUGCAGCGUGAAGAACAACGUCAGUCACGCACAGAAGACCAUUAGACUCAAACCCUGUCCUGCUGAUGGUUCUGUUGGGUCUGUUAGGAGCUUUUCACAUCUACAUGAGACACACAUCAGGAAAGAAACAGGAAGAUCAGAAAGUGAGGAUGAGAAGAUUGAGAGAAGGACAUGAACACACAGCAGAAGAUUCAUGAGAGCAGCAGCAGAUCAUCACAUCUAUGAGAAAUAACUUCAUAAUCUCACAGAUUCUCACAUCAAUCCAGCUUUCAGCUGCCAACAGCAGAUCUUAGAAUAUAAACCCAAGAGAUGAAUUAAAACCAGGAGAUAAGAAUUAAACCAGAUUUUCUACAGUUAUGGUUAUGAAGAUUAUUUCUGUUUUGUAAUAGAUUUAAUGCUUAUAUUACUUAUGUGUCUUCACACUGAAUGAACUAGCAGUACUUUUAUAUCAUUACAUGAAACCCCUUCUGAUCAUCACUGAUAAAACUUUUAUUUCUCUGAAUCAGAUCAGUCACAUUGUGUUUAUUUUCAUAUUUCUGCUCUUGCUCUUUAACUUUAUUCUGUUAUGGUUGAUUUCUUUCAUUUACAGGUCUGUUUAGAUGUUUUAUCUGUUUGAAGAUCUUGAUCUGUUUCUCUGUUUUGUAGUGUUUGUUGUGUUGCUGUCUGUGGUUUGGUUUUGCUUGAAUUUGCUUGAAGUUUUUAACAUAUAUAACCACAUUCAUGCAUUAUUCUUCACAAGAUAUUUGCAUCAUAGAACAUUGCUAAACAUGCCCUUCUUUAGACAUUGUAAAUGGGGUCAUUGCUGAAUUUGUUUUUUUGAGUUAAAUGUGAAAAUAAAACGCUUUAAAAUGAAACA